rnacentral:rRNA from 1 species
UCGAUUGAGUUUGAUCAUGGCUCAGCCUGAACGCUGGCGGCGUGGCUAAGACAUGCAAGUCGCACGGAUGGAGCAAUCCAUCAGUGGCGAACGGGUGAGUAAUGAAUCGCUAAUGUGCCCCGGACUCUGGGAUAGCCAGUCGAAAGACUGGGUAAUACCAGAUGAUAUACUCCUUUCGCAUGAUUGGAGUCUCAAGGGUCCGCCGGUCUGGGAGCAGGCGAUUUCGUAUCAGCUAGCUGGUGAGGUAACGGCUCACCAAGGCGAUGACGCGUAGCCGGACUGAGAGGUUGGCCGGCCACAUUGGGACUGAGACACUGCCCAGACUCCUACGGGGGGCUGCAGUAACGAAUCUUCCGCAAUGCACGAAAGUGUGACGGAGCGACGCCGCGUGUGGGACGAAGCCCUUCGGGGUGUAAACCACUGUCAGGGGUUAGAAAGUUCUGAUCAACCCCAGAGGAAGGCACGGCUAACUCUGUGCCAGCAGCCGCGGUAAGACAGAGGUGCCGAGCGUUAGGCGGAAUCACUGGGCUUAAAGCGUGUGUAGGCGGAUGCCUAAGUACCUUGUGAAAUCCCACGGCUCAACCGUGGAACUGCUUGGUAUACUGGGUAUCUUGAGCCAGCUAGGGGCUACCGGAACAAAUGGUGGAGCGGUGAAAUGCGUAGAUAUCAUUUGGAACGCCAAUGGUGAAAACAGGUAGCUGGGGCUGUGCUGACGCUGAGACACGAAAGCCAGGGG